rnacentral:rRNA from 1 species
UUGACCUCGAAUCAGGUAGGAAUACCCGCUGAACUUAAGCAUAUCAAUAAGCGGAGGAAAAGAAACCAACAGGGAUUGCCCCAGUAACGGCGAGUGAAGCGGCAACAGCUCAAAUUUGAAAUCUGGCCCCCCGGGGCCCGAGUUGUAAUUUGCAGAGGAUGCUUUUGGCGAGGCGCCUUCCGAGUUCCCUGGAACGGGACGCCACAGAGGGUGAGAGCCCCGUCUGGUUGGAUGCCGAGCCUCUGUAAAGCUCCUUCGACGAGUCGAGUAGUUUGGGAAUGCUGCUCUAAAUGGGAGGUAUAUGUCUUCUAAAGCUAAAUAUUGGCCAGAGACCGAUAGCGCACAAGUAGAGUGAUCGAAAGAUGAAAAGCACUUUGAAAAGAGGGUUAAAUAGUACGUGAAAUUGUUGAAAGGGAAGCGCUCAUGACCAGACUUGGGCCCGGUGAAUCAUCCAGCGUUCUCGCUGGUGCACUUUGCCAGGCUCAGGCCAGCAUCAGUUUGCCCCGGGGGACAAAGGCUCUGGGAAUGUGGCUCCUCCGGGAGUGUUAUAGCCCUCUGCGCAAUGCCCUGGGGCGGACUGAGGUUCGCGCAUCUGCAAGGAUGCUGGCGUAAUGGUCAUCAGCGACC